GGUUAGCAUAGUGUAGUGGUUUGAGCAUUAGACUAUGACUCUGGAGACCAGGGUUUGAAUCCCCAUUCAGCCA
rnacentral:tRNA from 1 species